rnacentral:rRNA from 1 species
CAGCCGCCGCGGUAAUACGAAGGGUGCAAGCGUUAAUCGGAAUUACUGGGCGUAAAGCGUGCGUAGGCGGUGAGUUAAGUCUGCUGUGAAAUCCCCGGGCUCAACCUGGGAAUGGCAGCGGAUACUGGCUCGCUAGAGUGUGUCAAAGGAUGGUGGAAUUCCCGGUGUAGCGGUGAAAUGCGUAGAGAUCGGGAGGAACACCAGUGGCGAAGGCGGCCAUCUGGGACAACACUGACGCUGAGGCACGAAAGCGUGGGGAGCAAACAGGAUUAGAUACCCCUGUAGUCCCUGUCUCUUAUAC